UACGGGGGGGGGCAAGCGUUGUUCGGAAUUACUGGGCGUAAAGGGCGCGUAGGCGGCCUUCUAAGUCGAACGUGAAAUCCCCGGGCUCAACCCGGGAACUGCGUCCGAUACUGGCAGGCUUGAAUCCGGGAGAGGGAUGCGGAAUUCCAGGUGUAGCGGUGAAAUGCGUAGAUAUCUGGAGGAACACCGGUGGCGAAGGCGGCAUCCUGGACCGGCAUUGACGCGUGAGGCGCGAAAGCCAGGGGGAGCAAAACGGGG
rnacentral:rRNA from 1 species